AUAAUCACAAGUAACCGCCAUACUUUGACGACGCUGAGCUUCAAAAGCUUCAAACAUCCUCGAAAGUGUCUCAAUCUGUGCUGACAAUGCAGAAAGUUUCUCGAGUCUUUCAAUCUCCGCUCCCCUUGGUUGAGUCAUGUUCGUGUAUGGCCAUUGAUACACAAAGCCAUCCAUGGUACCUGAAAAGAGAGAAAUAUAGAAAGAGAAUUAAAAAUAAAAAUAAAAAUAUUUAAAUUAAGACUAAUUUGAU
rnacentral:lncRNA from 1 species